CAAUAGCGGCUGUGCCGUGCUGGGGUCGUGGCCGGCGAGGGUCCCUUCUGCUCUGCGUCCCUGGGAUGUGGUGUGGAACAUCCCGAUAAGCGCCAUGACGAGCUCUGGCACCGGGAUUCAAAGCAAAGCCCAUCCCUGGGAGAAGGGGAAAUGCUUGCAGCUGCCCCUGUAAAGCGUGGCCGGGACACGGUGCAGCGUGAGGGCAAGCCCAUGCUCCGGCUCUCAGGAAGCUUCCUCAGCUCAGAACGGAGAAGACAAAAUGGCCGGAGAAAGUGAGCUGACGUCCUUUUUGGGUCAUGAAAGAAGCUGCAGUUUCUUAAAGGAAGGACAUAGGAACAUCCUCUUCAGACUGAGACAAGAAGGGUUAAAGGUUGCUGAUGGAAUUCCUGUGCCAAAUGCAUAAUUGAGGAACAGCAGAGAGCUGGAAAAAGGCUCCAAGAUAAGGGAUCUCUGGCCCUCACUGGCCACCAAAGAGCUAUUGUGGAAAUCUGGAGAUACCAGCACCAUCAGUGCAAGGGCCAGCUUGAGGAAGAAGGAAUUGCAGCUCUUCCUGCCUGCAAAAGUAUGACGGCUUGGAGGGUCCAUCUGCAAAUCCUAAAGAGCCUGUUUAUGUAACUUGAUGAAGUCACCUGAGUUUAGGAGCAGCGUGGAGCUACUGCAUCCAACAAAGCAUCAAGAGACGUCACAACCCUACACAGAGUAAGUGCAACUGCAGCGAUCCUUCUCACAGGUUUUCAAGGAGCAGAGUAAUCCAGAAUGCAUUAUGUCCUCCCAGUGAA